GAUGAACGCUGGCGGCGUGCCUAAUACAUGCAAGUCGAGCGAACAGACGAUGAGCUUGCUCCUCUGACGUUAGCGGCGGACGGGCGAGUAACACGUGGAUAACCUACCUAUAAGACUGGGAUAACUUCGGGAAACCGGAGCUACUACCGCCUCAUACAUCGAACCGCAUGGUUCAAUAGUGCAACACGCCUUUGCCGUCACUUAUAGCCGGAUCCGCGCCGCAUUAGCUACGUGGUAAGGGAACGGCUUAACAAGGCCACGAAGCGUAUCCGAGCUGAGAGGGAGAACGGCCACACUGGAACUGGGACACGGUCCAGAAUCCUGCGGGGGGGAGCAGUGGGGAAUCUUCGGCAAUGGGGGGAAGGCUUGAGGAGGAACGCCGGGGGAGUGAAGGAGGGCUUCGGGGCGGAAAACCCUGUUAGUAGGGAAGGAAAAAUGGGUGGGUAACUAUGCGCGUUUUGACGGUACCUAAUCAGAAAGCCACGGCUAACUACGGG
rnacentral:rRNA from 1 species